CAGCAGUCGCCACGGUAAUACGUAGGGUGCAAGCGUUAAUCGGAAUUACUGGGCGUAAAGGGCUCGCAGGCGGUUUCUUAAGUCUGAUGUGAAAGCCCCCGGCUCAACCGGGGAGGGUCAUUGGAAACUGGGAAACUUGAGUGCAGAAGAGGAGAGUGGAAUUCCACGUGUAGCGGUGAAAUGCGUAGAGAUGUGGAGGAACACCAGUGGCAAAGGCGACUCUCUGGUCUGUAACUGACGCUGAGGAGCGAAAGCGUGGGGAGCGAACAGGAUUAGAUACCCCUGUAGUCCCUGUCUCUUAUAC
rnacentral:rRNA from 1 species